rnacentral:rRNA from 1 species
UGGCGAACGGGUGAGCAACACGUGGGUGAUCUGCCCUGCACUUCGGGAUAAGCUUGGGAAACUGGGUCUAAUACCGGAUAGGAGCCAUCUUUAGUGUGGUGGUUGGAAAGUUUUUUCGGUGUAGGAUGAGCUCGCGGCCUAUCAGCUUGUUGGUGGGGUAAUGGCCUACCAAGGCGGCGACGGGUAGCCGGCCUGAGAGGGUGUACGGCCACAUUGGGACUGAGAUACGGCCCAG